CCUACGGGGGGCAGCAGUCGGGAAUAUUGCGCAAUGGAGGAAACUCUGACGCAGUGACGCCGCGUAUAGGAAGAAGUUCUUCGGAGUGUAAAGCACUGUCGGCAGGGAAGAAAAAGGACAUUACUGAAGGAGGAGGCUCCGGCUAACUACGUGCCAGCAGCCGCGGUAAUAGGUAGGGAGCGAGGGUUAUCCGGAAUUAUUGGGUGUAAAGGGUGCGUAGACGGGAAAACAAGCUAGUUGUGAAAUCCCUCGGCCUAACUGAGGAACUGCAAUUUAAACUGUUUUUCUUGAGUGCAGGAGGGGUAAGUGGAAUUCCUGGUGUAGCGGUGAAAUGCGUAGAUAUUAGGAGGAACACCAGUGGCGAAGGCGACUUACUGGACUGUAACUGACGUUGAGGCACGAAAGUGUGGGGAGCAAACAGGAUUAGAUACCCCAGUAGUC
rnacentral:rRNA from 1 species